rnacentral:rRNA from 1 species
UACGGAAGGCAGCAGGGGGGAAUAUUGGACAAUGGGCGCAAGCCUGAUCCAGCCAUGCCGCGUGUGUGAAGAAGGCCUUCGGGUUGUAAAGCACUUUUGUCCGGAAAGAAAAGCUUAGGGUUAAUAACCUUGAGUCAUGACGGUACCGGAAGAAUAAGCACCGGCUAACUUCGUGCCAGCAGCCGCGGUAAUACGAAGGGUGCAAGCGUUACUCGGAAUUACUGGGCGUAAAGCGUGCGUAGGUGGUUUUGUUAAGUCUGAUGUGAAAGCCCUGGGCUCAACCUGGGAAUGGCAUUGGAAACUGGCUUACUAGAGUGCGGUAGAGGGGUGUGGAAUUCCCGGUGUAGCAGUGAAAUGCGUAGAUAUCGGGAGGAACAUCUGUGGCGAAAGGGCGACACCCUGGGACCAGCACUGACACUGAGGCACGAAAGCGUGGGGAGCAAACAGGGAUUAGAUACC